CAGCCGCCGCGGGAACACGUAGGUGGCAAGCGUUGUCCGGAAUUAUUGGGCGUAAAGCGCGCGCAGGUGGUUUAAUAAGUCUGAUGUGAAAGCCCACGGCUCAACCGUGGAGGGUCAUUGGAAACUGUUAAACUUGAGUGCAGGAGAGAAAAGUGGAAUUCCUAGUGUAGCGGUGAAAUGCGUAGAGAUUAGGAGGAACACCAGUGGCGAAGGCGGCUUUUUGGCCUGUAACUGACACUGAGGCGCGAAAGCGUGGGGAGCAAACAGGAUUAGAUACCCCCGUAGUCCCUGUCUCUUAUAC
rnacentral:rRNA from 1 species